UNUGGAAACUGUCUGACUUGAGUGCAGAAGGGGAGAGUGGAAUUCCAUGUGUAGCGGUGAAAUGCGUAGAUAUAUGGAGGANCACCAGUGGCGAAAGCGGCUCUCUGGUCUGUCACUGACGCUGAGGCUNGAAAGCGUGGGUAGCGAACAGGAUUAGAUACCCUGGUAGUNCACGCCGUAAACGAUGAGUGCUAGGUGUUAGGCCCUUUCCGGGGCUUAGUGCCGGAGCUAACGCAAUAAGCACUCCGCCUGGGGAGUACGACCGCAAGGUUGAAACUCAAAGGAAUUGACGGGGGCCCGCACAAGCGGUGGAGCAUGUGGUUUAAUUCGAAGCAACGCGAAGAACCUCACCAGGUCUUGACAUCCCGAUGCUAUUCUUAGAGAUAGGAAGUUACUUCGGUACAUCGGAGACAGGUGGUGCAUGGUUGUCGUCAGCUCGUGUCGUGAGAUGUUGGGUUAAGUCCCGCAACGAGCGCAACCCUUAUUGUUAGUUGCCAUCAUUAAGUUGGGCACUCUAGCGAGACUGCCGGUAAUAAACCGGAGGAAGGUGGGGAUGACGUCAAAUCAUCAUGCCCCUUAUGACCUGGGCUACACACGUGCUACAAUGGUCGGUACAACGAGUUGCGAGCCGGUGACGGCAAGCUAAUCUCUGAAAGCCGAUCUCAGUUCGGAUUGGAGGCUGCAACUCGCCUCCAUGAAGUCGGAAUCGCUAGUAAUCGCGGAUCAGCACGCCGCGGUGAAUACGUUCCCGGGCCUUGUACACACCGCCCGUCACACCACGAGAGUUUGAAACACCCGAAGUCGGUGAGGUAACCUUUUAGG
rnacentral:rRNA from 1 species